GGCGCCGCGCCUCCGGGUGUUGGGGAGGCCGGGACGAUGGAGAGUCCGGGGCUCGCCCUAGUCGCGGGGACACCGCCUUCCAGGAGCUGUCCCCAGGCAAACUCACAGACAUCUUCAAAGAGGCUUCUUGGACAUUCUGUUUUUUGCUCCUCAAAACAGGCUUCGGAAAGAGAACAGGCAAACAUCACUGCGAGCGCCUCUAGGGCUCCUUUCCCUGUCCCAGGACCGGGAAUCGGGGAGGUGCCCAAGCAGAGUUCACUUAAGUUAACAAAUCAAUGAAGCAGCUGGAAAAUCUCAGUUAUAUUUUAAAUGAGAUCGAGGGCGGUGACUCACGCCUGUAGUCCCAGCACUUUGGGAGGCCGAGGCGGAGGUGGAGGGUCGCUUGAGGCCAGGAGUCCGAGACCAGCCUGGGCAACAUGCCUUCAAACUGCUGAGAGCUGCUUGGUGGACCUCGUCUCUCAAUUUGCCCUUCCCACUAAACCCGUCUUCCCUCAACAGCUACAGUACAGUGGCGUGAUCUCGGCUAACUGCAACCUCCACCUCCCAGGUUCAAGUGAUUCUCCUGUCUUAGCCUCAUGAGUAGCUGGGAUUACAGGCACAUGCUAAUUUUUGUAUUUUUAGUAGUGACGGGUUUCAUCAUAUUGGUCAGGCUGGUCUCAAACUCCUGACCUCAGGUGGUCCGCCUCAGCCUCCCAAAGUGUUGAGAUUACAGGCGUGAGCCACCCAUCACGCCCGGCUAUAUAUCUCUUCUUCAGAGAAAUAUCUAAUCAAGAAAAUAAUUUUUACUGUUUUUAUUUUUUGGUUUGUUUGUUUUUUUCCUCUGAGAUGGAGUUUCACUCAUGUUGCCCAUCCUGGAGUACAAUGGUGUGAUCUCGGCUCACUUCAACCUCUGCCUCCUGGUGUGUCUGGAAUUGGUGGGUUCUUGGUCCCACUGACUUCAAGAAUGAAGCCACGGACCCUCGCGAAUUAUUAAACCAAUAUGAGGAAACAUGAAACGAUGCAAUCUACUAUCAACUUUGAAAAAGUGAUUGAACCACUUAGCUUUCAGAUGAUGAACACUGAAAACAAUAACCUUGCCCGGCCACCCACCGUCUGGGAAGUGAGGAGCACCUCUGCCCGGCCACCCACCGUCUGGGAAGUGAGGAGCGCCUCUGCCCGGCCACCCACCGUCUGGGAAGUGAGGAGCGCCUCUGCCCGGCCACCCACCGUCUGGGAAGUGAGGAGCGCCUCUGCCCGGCCGCCCCGUCUGGGAAGUGAGGAGCGCCUCUGCCCGGCCACCCAUCGUCUGGGAAGUGAGGAGCGCCUCUGCCCGGCCGCCCCGUCCGGGAAGAAAUGAGGAGCGCCUCUGCCCGGGCACCCCGUCCGGGAAGAAGUGAGGAGCGCCUCUGCCCGGUCGCCCCGUCCGGGAAGAAGUGAGGAGCGCCUCUGCCCGGCCGCCCCGUCUGGGAAGUGAGGAGCGCCUCUGCCCGGCCGCCCCGUCCGGGAAGAAAUGAGGAGCGCCUCUGCCCGGGCGCCCCAUCCGGGAAGAAGUGAGGAGUGCCUCUGCCCAGCCGCCCCAUCCGGGAAGAAGUGAGGAGCGCCUCCGCCCGGCCACCCAUCGUCUGGGAAGUGAGGAGCGCCUCUGCCCGGCCACCCAUCGUCUGGAAAGUGAGGAGCGCCUCUGCCCGGCUGCCCCAUCUGGGAAGUGAGGAGUGCCUCUGCCCGGCCACCCAUCGUCUGGGAGGUGAGGAGCGCCUCUGCCCGGCCGCCCAUCGUCUGGGAAGUGAGGAGCGCCUCUGCCCGGCCACCCAUCGUCUGGGAAGUGAGGAGCACCUCUGCCUGGCCACCUAUCGUCUGGGAAGAAGUGAGGAGCGUCUCUGCCUGGCCGCCCCGUCUGGGAAGUGAGGAGCCCCUCUGCCCGGCCGCCCCGUGUCUGGGUAGAAGUGAGGAGCUCCUCUGCCUGGCCGCUCCGUCUGGGAGGUCUACCACGGAGGCCAGAAGCAAUGUGGGGGCUGGACGUGGUGGCUUACGCCUGUGGUCCCGGCACUCUGGGGGGCGAGGCGGGUUGAUCACUUCGGGCUAGGAGUUCGAGACCAGUCUGGCCAACUUGGCGAAACAUGAAGAAUACAACAGACAAACCAACCAACCAACUCAAUGACAACAAAACAGGUCUACCCUGGAGUCAUACUCUAAUUUUUUCUAUUUUCCUCCCUUUCUGAUCCUUUAUCCCACUUUCUUUUUCUUCCUCUUCCUUCUCCCUCUUCUUUGUCAAAUAGAGGAUUGAGUUAUUAUCACUGAUCCAUAUAAAGUCCCUCUCUCAUUUAUUUUAACUCCCACCCCCAUUUCUAUUCCCCGACUUCCCAUGUGCAACCUUCCUAAUAUGUUUGAUACGCAUCUUUUUGUUUGUAUGUAUUUUUAGAAAAUGUUUAUUGUUUUUGUAUGCAAAAAAAAUUAAUAAAAAAAAAAAGAAAAAAAAAAAGAAAACAAUAA